UAUACAUAUUUAAAUGCUGAAAAUUUGUUAUCAAUCCAGCGAUUAGUAACAUAAGUACCUAUUUAAGAAAUCUGUUAAAUAUGUCUUAAUGUCUUAAAAUAUUUGAAGUUUAACAUACACAUGGAACAUAUUUGACCGUGCGAAUACAAACGGCAUGACAGUUUAAUAGAUACAUUUUGUUUGACGUUCCCAAGUUUAGCUAUUCAUUCGGCACGUGUGUUUAUAUUGUGAUUUGCACAGUGUUUAUCCAACGUCGUUAUUGUUC